GCUUACCAUGCAGUCGACGGAAUCCUUCGGGAUUUAGUGGCGGACGGGUGAGUAACACGUAAGAAUCUGCCCCUAGGACGGGAAAAACAGUUGGAAACGACUGCUAAUUCCGGAUGAGCCGAAAGGUAAAAAGAAAUUCGCCUAGGGAUGAGCUUGCGGCUGAUUAGCUAGUUGGUAGGGUAAGAGCCUACCAAGGCGACGAUCAGUAGCUGGUCUGAGAGGAUGAGCAGCCACACUGGGACUGAGACACGGCCCAGACUCCUACGGGAGGCAGCAGUGGGGAAUUUUCCGCAAUGGGCGAAAGCCUGACGGAGCAAGACCGCGUGGGGGAGGAAGGUUCUUGGAUUGUCAACCCCUUUUCUCAAGGAAGAACAAAAUGACGGUACUUGAGGAAUAAGCAUCGGCUAACUCCGUGCCAGCAGCCGCGGUAAUACGGAGGAUGCAAGCGUUAUCCGGAAUGAUUGGGCGUAAAGAGUCCGUAGGUGGCUCCUCAAGUCUAUUGUCAAAGCGCGAGGCUUAACUUCGUGAAGGCCGUAGAAACUGAGGAGCUAGAGAGCAGUAGGGGCAGAAGGAAUUCCUGGUGUAGCGGUGAAAUGCGUAGAGAUCAGGAAGAACACCGGUGGCGAAAGCGUUCUGCUGGGCUGCAACUGACACUGAGGGACGAAAGCUAGGGGAGCGAAUGGGAUUAGAUACCCCAGUAGUCCUAGCCGUAAACGAUGGAUACUAGGUGUUGUGAGUAUCGACCCUCACAGUGCCGAAGCCAACGCAUUAAGUAUCCCGCCUGGGGAGUACGCACGCAAGUGUGAAACUCAAAGGAAUUGACGGGGGCCCGCACAAGCGGUGGAGUAUGUGGUUUAAUUCGAUGCAACGCGAAGAACCUUACCAGGGUUUGACAUGUCCGGAAUCUCGGUGAAAGCUGAGAGUGCCUUCGGGAGCCGGAACACAGGUGCUGCAUGGCUGUCGUCAGCUCGUGUCGUGAGAUGUUGGGUUAAGUCCCGCAACGAGCGCAACCCUCGUCGUUAGUUGCCAGCAAGAAAGAUGGGAACUCUAGCGAGACUGCCGGUGACAAACCGGAGGAAGGUGGGGAUGACGUCAAGUCAGCAUGGCCCUUACAUCCUGGGCGACACACGUACUACAAUGCUAGGGACAAAGAGCAGCGACUUCGCGAGGAGAAGCGAUUCUCAGAAACCCUGGCUCAGUUCAGAUUGCUCUCUGCAACUCGAGAGCAUGAAGGAGGAAUCGCUAGUAAUCGCAGGUCAGCAUACUGCGGUGAAUCCGUUCCCGGGCCUUGUACACACCGCCCGUCACACCAUGGAAGUUUGCCACGCCCGAAGUCAUUACUCUAACCCCUUGGGGAGGAGGGUGCCGAAGGCAGGGCUGAUGACUGGGGUGAAGUCGUAACAAGUAGCCCUACCG
rnacentral:rRNA from 1 species